rnacentral:rRNA from 1 species
GGUUAAGCGACUAAGCGUACACGGUGGAUGCCCUGGCAGUCAGAGGCGAUGAAGGACGUGCUAAUCUGCGAUAAGCGUCGGUGAGGUGAUAUGAACCGUUAUAACCGGCGAUUUCCGAAUGGGGAAACCCAGUGUGAUUCGUCACACUAUCAUUAACUGAAUCCAUAGGUUAAUGAGGCGAACCGGGGGAACUGAAACAUCUAAGUACCCCGAGGAAAAGAAAUCAACCGAGAUUCCCCCAGUAGCGGCGAGCGAACGGGGAGCAGCCCAGAGCCUGAAUCAGUGUGUGUGUUAGUGGAAGCGUCUGGAAAGGCGCGCGAUACAGGGUGACAGCCCCGUACACAAAAAUGCACAUAUUGUGAGCUCGAUGAGUAGGGCGGGACACGUGGUAUCCUGUCUGAAUAUGGGGGGACCAUCCUCCAAGGCUAAAUACUCCUGACUGACCGAUAGUGAACCAGUACCGUGAGGGAAAGGCGAAAAGAACCCCGGCGAGGGGAGUGAAAAAGAACCUGAAACCGUGUACGUACAAGCAGUGGGAGCACGCUUAGGCGUGUGACUGCGUACCUUUUGUAUAAUGGGUCAGCGACUUAUAUUCUGUAGCAAGGUUAACCGAAUAGGGGAGCCGAAGGGAAACCGAGUCUUAACUGGGCGUUAAGUUGCAGGGUAUAGACCCGAAACCCGGUGAUCUAGCCAUGGGCAGGUUGAAGGUUGGGUAACACUAACUGGAGGACCGAACCGACUAAUGUUGAAAAAUUAGCGGAUGACUUGUGGCUGGGGGUGAAAGGCCAAUCAAACCGGGAGAUAGCUGGUUCUCCCCGAAAGCUAUUUAGGUAGCGCCUCGUGAAUUCAUCUCCGGGGGUAGAGCACUGUUUCGGCAAGGGGUCAUCCCGACUUACCAACCCGAUGCAAACUGCGAAUACCGGAGAAUGUUAUCACGGGAGACACACGGCGGGUGCUAACGUCCGUCGUGAAGAGGGAAACAACCCAGACCGCCAGCUAAGGUCCCAAAGUCAUGGUUAAGUGGGAAACGAUGUGGGAAGGCCCAGACAGCCAGGAUGUUGGCUUAGAAGCAGCCAUCAUUUAAAGAAAGCGUAAUAGCUCACUGGUCGAGUCGGCCUGCGCGGAAGAUGUAACGGGGCUAAACCAUGCACCGAAGCUGCGGCAGCGACGCUUAUGCGUUGUUGGGUAGGGGAGCGUUCUGUAAGCCUGUGAAGGUGUGCUGUGAGGCAUGCUGGAGGUAUCAGAAGUGCGAAUGCUGACAUAAGUAACGAUAAAGCGGGUGAAAAGCCCGCUCGCCGGAAGACCAAGGGUUCCUGUCCAACGUUAAUCGGGGCAGGGUGAGUCGACCCCUAAGGCGAGGCCGAAAGGCGUAGUCGAUGGGAAACAGGUUAAUAUUCCUGUACUUGGUGUUACUGCGAAGGGGGGACGGAGAAGGCUAUGUUGGCCGGGCGACGGUUGUCCCGGUUUAAGCGUGUAGGCUGGUUUUCCAGGCAAAUCCGGAAAAUCAAGGCUGAGGCGUGAUGACGAGGCACUACGGUGCUGAAGCAACAAAUGCCCUGCUUCCAGGAAAAGCCUCUAAGCAUCAGGUAACAUCAAAUCGUACCCCAAACCGACACAGGUGGUCAGGUAGAGAAUACCAAGGCGCUUGAGAGAACUCGGGUGAAGGAACUAGGCAAAAUGGUGCCGUAACUUCGGGAGAAGGCACGCUGAUAUGUAGGUGAAGUCCCUUGCGGAUGGAGCUGAAAUCAGUCGAAGAUACCAGCUGGCUGCAACUGUUUAUUAAAAACACAGCACUGUGCAAACACGAAAGUGGACGUAUACGGUGUGACGCCUGCCCGGUGCCGGAAGGUUAAUUGAUGGGGUCAGCGCAAGCGAAGCUCUUGAUCGAAGCCCCGGUAAACGGCGGCCGUAACUAUAACGGUCCUAAGGUAGCGAAAUUCCUUGUCGGGUAAGUUCCGACCUGCACGAAUGGCGUAAUGAUGGCCAGGCUGUCUCCACCCGAGACUCAGUGAAAUUGAACUCGCUGUGAAGAUGCAGUGUACCCGCGGCAAGACGGAAAGACCCCGUGAACCUUUACUAUAGCUUGACACUGAACAUUGAGCCUUGAUGUGUAGGAUAGGUGGGAGGCUUAGAAGUGUGGACGCCAGUCUGCAUGGAGCCGACCUUGAAAUACCACCCUUUAAUGUUUGAUGUUCUAACGUUGACCCGUAAUCCGGGUUGCGGACAGUGUCUGGUGGGUAGUUUGACUGGGGCGGUCUCCUCCUAAAGAGUAACGGAGGAGCACGAAGGUUGGCUAAUCCUGGUCGGACAUCAGGAGGUUAGUGCAAUGGCAUAAGCCAGCUUGACUGCGAGCGUGACGGCGCGAGCAGGUGCGAAAGCAGGUCAUAGUGAUCCGGUGGUUCUGAAUGGAAGGGCCAUCGCUCAACGGAUAAAAGGUACUCCGGGGAUAACAGGCUGAUACCGCCCAAGAGUUCAUAUCGACGGCGGUGUUUGGCACCUCGAUGUCGGCUCAUCACAUCCUGGGGCUGAAGUAGGUCCCAAGGGUAUGGCUGUUCGCCAUUUAAAGUGGUACGCGAGCUGGGUUUAGAACGUCGUGAGACAGUUCGGUCCCUAUCUGCCGUGGGCGCUGGAGAACUGAGGGGGGCUGCUCCUAGUACGAGAGGACCGGAGUGGACGCAUCACUGGUGUUCGGGUUGUCAUGCCAAUGGCACUGCCCGGUAGCUAAAUGCGGAAGAGAUAAGUGCUGAAAGCAUCUAAGCACGAAACUUGCCCCGAGAUGAGUUCUCCCUGACUCCUUGAGAGUCCUGAAGGAACGUUGAAGACGACGACGUUGAUAGGCCGGGUGUGUAAGCGCAGCGAUGCGUUGAGCUAACCGGUACUAAUGAACCGUGAGGCUUAACCUU